UACGUAGGGUGCGAGCGUUGUCCGGAAUUACUGGGCGUAAAGAGCUCGUAGGUGGUUUGUCACGUCGUCUGUGAAAUUCCGGGGCUUAACCUCGGGCGUGCAGGCGAUACGGGCAAUACUUGAGUGCUGUAGGGGAGACUGGAAUUCCUGGUGUAGCGGUGAAAUUCGCAGAUAUCAGGAGGAACACCAAUGGCGAAGGCAGGUCUCUGGGCAGUUACUGACGCUGAGGAGCGAAAGCAUGGGUAGCGAACAGGAUUAGAUACCCCU
rnacentral:rRNA from 1 species